AAUGUCAACCACAUAUUCUUCCAAUUUCCCAACACCAUUUCCUUCUAGAACCAAAUUAGGAACAAUUGGCCUAAAGUGCAUGUCAUUGACUACUACUCCAUCAAUUCCUUCAGCGGGUUGAAGUGUUGGAAAGAUCUCCAUAACCACCUUUAUAAUUAUUGGCUUCCAUGGGAAAUCGUAAUUCCUUUUUUGUUUGUGGAAUAUCUGGCUGAUUAGGAUUAACAAUCUCUUCAACAACAAAAAGAUGCCAUCCCAGUUGAGCACACGAUAUCCCAAGCUACUGAGUACCAUCUAAUGAUUGUCCACAAGAAUACCAGAAAGGUGGACCAAGUCGGCAUCCACAUUAAGUGGGAGUCGCUCCCCCACCUGCUGGUAGCUUCAAGCUUAAUGUUUGACAGCUCUGUUAAAAAUAGCCCAGGGCUUGGUGGGCUUGGGGCAAUGCCACCCCCAUUCUUGCUGUAUUUCAAGCUCUCAAAAGAAUACUGCUGGUUGCUAUUGAACAUAACCUGACCCCUCUUGAAAUUAACACAGAUUCUUUAAACGUUAUUAACAUGCUCAAACAAGAUCAUACGCGUAAUAUACAUCGCUCUUGAGUGCAGGUCGGGAAACGCAGAAUAGAGUGGCAGAAACAUUGAUUGACCAAGGAUGGAGUGAAGAACGCAGUCCCAGGAACCCCAACCAUUUUGUUGGUUAGCCGGUGUUUGCGGGGAAGGCAAUAGAACACACUAUGGGAACUUCUUUUGCUAGAUAGAUCAGUACUAUAAACUCUAUUUCCCAGGGACGGGAUGUUGGCCAAACUGUCUGUAUGAUGACCGCUAAUACGCC
rnacentral:lncRNA from 1 species